CUCUCUUUACCGUACCAAGCCAUCUUCGACAUACUCUCCAGGACGCCGGUAAAGUCCAUGUGCCGGUUCCGGUGUGUGUCCAAAGGGUGGCGCGACCUCAUCUCCAGUCCCGUCUUCGCCGCCGCGCACAGGUCCCGCCACGGCCCGCUCCUCGUUGACGCCGGCUCCUUUGAGGAAGAAGAACCCGUGGGAGGCCGUGACAUGCGGCUCAUGGACAUGGACGGCAACGUCGUGAGGGUCAUCAAGGGUGCCGGAGGCUAUGGGAUGAUGUGCAACACGAGCCUCGACGGCUCUUCUUGCGGCAGCGUCAACGUGGUCAAUCCGGCCACAGGGGAGCUGCUCGUGACCUGCCCACAGGUGGACGUGGUAGACCGCGACGCCUUUCCUUAUGCUGCGAUACGUUACAAACACCAUCUUCGGCUUCGGCCAUGCCGUCCCGUCCGGUGA
rnacentral:rRNA from 1 species